AUGGGGCGCGACGUCGUCGAGGUCUCUGGUGCUGUGAUGUCGGCGGGGCUGCAGCAGUUGGCAUCUCGCAGCUGGGGUGCUGCCGGCCGGUGCUGCAGAGCAUUGACGGACGCUGCGGAUAGGGUGCCGGCAAGCUGCGUUGCAACAUCCACCUUGCUGCAUGCUGGAUGGGGCGCGACGCCGUCAGCUCAUCGGUGCUGCGAUGCCGGCGGGAUUGCAACAAAAGGCAAAUCUAAGGGGGCUCGCUGGUGUUGCGAUGAAGCAUCGCGUGCCAGGGCAAGCACUCUCUACAAAAUCAUCCGGCUGAUCCGUAGCAGCGGCCUUCAGAAAAACCUACACUACGCUGCUAAAUGGGCUGUGCGUUUGCUGACAACUUGA
rnacentral:rRNA from 1 species